rnacentral:rRNA from 1 species
GAUGAACGCUGGCGGCGUGCCUAAUACAUGCAAGUCGAGCGAACAGACGAGGAGCUUGCUCCUCUGACGUUAGCGGCGGACGGGUGAGUAACACGUGGAUAACCUACCUAUAAGACUGGGAUAACUUCGGGAAACCGGAGCUAAUACCGGAUAAUAUAUUGAACCGCAUGGUUCAAUAGUGAAAGGCGGUUUUGCUGUCACUUAUAGAUGGAUCCGCGCCGCAUUAGCUAGUUGGUAAGGUAACGGCUUACCAAGGCAACGAUGCGUAGCCGACCUGAGAGGGUGAUCGGCCACACUGGAACUGAGACACGGUCCAGACUCCUACGGGAGGCAGCAGUAGGGAAUCUUCCGCAAUGGGCGAAAGCCUGACGGGGCAACGCCGCGUGAGUGAUGAAGGUCUUCGGAUCGUAAAACUCUGUUAUUAGGGAAGAACAAAUGUGUAAGUAACUAUGCACGUCUUGACGGUACCUAAUCAGAAAGCCACGGCUAACUACGUG